GUUAAAGAGCUCGUAGUUGGAUUUCUGCGAGAGUGUCAAUGUCCGCCCACGCGCGUGUGCAGCGACGCCCUCGCAUCCUUCUGUUACCUCCUCUCGGCAUUCACGUGCCGGUGGCUGGCUCAGAGAAUUUACCUUGAGAAAAUUAGAGUGUUUCAGGCAGGCUAGGCCGGAAUACAUUAGCAUGGAAUAAUGGAAUAGGACUACGGUCUCGUUGUUGGUUUGAGGGACUGCAGUAAUGAUUAAUAGGGAUAGUUGGGGGCAUUAGUAUUUAAUUGUCAGAGGUGAAAUUCUCAGAUUUGUUAAAGACUAACUUAUGCGAAAGCAUUUGCCAAGGAUGUUUUCAUUAAUCAAGAACGAAAGUUAGGGGAUCAAAGACGAUCAGAUACCGUCCUAGUCUUAACCAUAAACGAUGUCGACUAGGGAUCAGCGGGUGUUAUCGUACGACUCCGUUGGCACCUUACGGGAAACCAAAGUUUUUGGAUUCCGGGGGAAGUAUGGUUGCAAAGCUGAAACUUAAAGGAAUUGACGGAAGGGCACCACCAGGAGUGGAGCCUGUGGCUCAAUUUGACUCAACACGGGAAAAACUUACCAGGUCCA
rnacentral:rRNA from 1 species